UACGGAGGGUGCGAGCGUUGUCCGGAAUCACUGGGCGUAAAGGGCGCGUAGGCGGCCUGAUAAGUAGGGGGUGAAAUCCUGCGGCUUAACCGCAGGGCUGCCUUCUAAACUGUCAGGCUAGAGCACAGUAGAGGCAGGUGGAAUUCCCGGUGUAGCGGUGAAAUGCGUAGAUAUCGGAAGGAACAUCAGUGGCGAAAGCGACUUCCUGGACCAAUACUGACGCUCAUGUGCGAAAGCGUGGGGAGCGAACAGG
rnacentral:rRNA from 1 species